GACGAACGCUGGCGGCGUGCUUAACACAUGCAAGUCGAACGAUGAAGCCUAGCUUGCUAGGUGGAUUAGUGGCGAACGGGUGAGUAAUACGUGAGUAACCUACCUUUAACUCUGGGAUAAGCCUGGGAAACUGGGUCUAAUACCGGAUACGACCAAUCUCCGCAUGGGGUGUUGGUGGAAAGCGUUAUGUAGUGGUUAUAGAUGGGCUCACGGCCUAUCAGCUUGUUGGUGAGGUAACGGCUCACCAAGGCGACGACGGGUAGCCGGCCUGAGAGGGUGACCGGCCACACUGGGACUGAGACACGGCCCAGACUCCUACGGGAGGCAGCAGUGGGGAAUAUUGCACAAUGGGCACAAGCCUGAUGCAGCGACGCCGCGUGAGGGAUGACGGCCUUCGGGUUGUAAACCUCUGUUAGCACGGAAGAAGAGAGAUUGACGGUACCUGCAGAGAAAGCGCCGGCUAACUACGUGCCAGCAGCCGCGGUAAUACGUAGGGCGCGAGCGUUGUCCGGAAUUAUUGGGCGUAAAGAGCUUGUAGGCGGUUUGUCGCGUCUGCUGUGAAAGGCCGGAGCUUAACUCCGUGUAUUGCAGUGGGUACGGGCAGACUAGAGUGCAGUAGGGGAGACUGGAAUUCCUGGUGUAGCGGUGGAAUGCGCAGAUAUCAGGAGGAACACCGAUGGCGAAGGCAGGUCUCUGGGCUGUAACUGACGCUGAGAAGCGAAAGCAUGGGGAGCGAACAGG
rnacentral:rRNA from 1 species